rnacentral:tRNA from 1 species
GGUUAGGGCUCAGUGGUAGAGUGCUCACCUAGUAUGUGUGAGGUACUGGGUUCGAUCCUCAGCACCA